UGGCCGGUACAAAGGGUCGCGAACCCGCGAGGGGGAGCCAAUCCCAAAAGACCGCUCUCAGUUCGGAUUGGAGUCUGCAACUCGACUCCAUGAAGUUGGAAUCGCUAGUAAUCGCGGAUCAGCAUGCCGCGGUGAAUUACCGGUUCCCGGGCCUU
rnacentral:rRNA from 1 species